rnacentral:rRNA from 1 species
CUUGAGAAACCUAAAAGUUCGAAAAGAGAGAUUCAACGUCAGUUGAUAUUGUAUUCACGUGAGUAGUGAUGUGUGCACAUUUUCAUGUUAUUUUAUUGCAAUAUUUGACCGGCGUGCACUUCUCUCUUAGUAGGACGUCCCGACCCGUUGAGUCUUGGCCUACGGCACAGACUUUAAUGUUUCGACAUUAAAGACCUCUGACAUUAAAGACCUCUGAUGUUCUCCUGGCUAAAGUACUCGACGGGGUGUUGAGCCGCAUUUUUAAUGCGUCCAUGCGUCCGGCCAAUCGCAAGUUUUUUGAUGUACCGUAUUAUCAUAGACUGAGCGCUAUGUAUAUGGAUUGUGCUUUAGGACCGGCUUAUUCAUCUGUCUGGGACGCUUAGGCUUUGGGUACUCUCAAGACCCGUCUUGAAACACGGACCAAGGAGUCUAACAUGUACGCGAGUCAUUGGGUAUAUAUUUUCCAAACCUAAAGGCGUAAUGAAAGUAAAGGUUGGA